rnacentral:rRNA from 1 species
AUGAACGCUGGCGGCGUGCCUCAUACAUGCAAGUCGAGCGAACAGAUGAGGAGCUUGCUCCUCUGACGUUAGCGGCGGACGGGUGAGUAACACGUGGAUAACCUACCUAUAAGACUGGGAUAACUUCGGGAAACCGGAGCUAAUACCGGAUAAUAUAUUGAACCGCAUGGUUCCAUAGUGAAAGACGGUUUUGCUGUCACUUAUAGAUGGAUCCGCGCCGCAUUAGCUAGUUGGUAAGGUAACGGCUUACCAAGGCAACGAUGCGUAGCCGACCUGAGAGGGUGAUCGGCCACACUGGAACUGAGACACGGUCCAGACUCCUACGGGAGGCAGCAGUAGGGAAUCUUCCGCAAUGGGCGAAAGCCUGACGGAGCAACGCCGCGUGAGUGAUGAAGUUCUUCGGAUCGUAAAACUCUGUUAUUAGGGAAGAACAAAUGUGUAAGUAACUAUGCACGUCUUGACGGUACCUAAUCAGAAAGCCACGGCUAACUACGUG